UACGUAGGGUGCGAGCGUUAAUCGGAAUUACUGGGCGUAAAGCGUGUGUAGGUGGUUGUUCAAGUCGGUUGUGAAAUCCCCGGGCUCAACCUGGGAACUGCUUCCGAGACUGAGCGACUAGAGAUCGGUAGAGGGCGGUGGAAUUUCCGGUGUAGCGGUGAAAUGCGUAGAUAUCUGGAGGAAUACCGGUGGCGAAGGCGGCAUCCUGGACCGACAUUGACGCUGAGGCGCGACAGCGUGGGGAGCAAACAGG
rnacentral:rRNA from 1 species